rnacentral:rRNA from 1 species
UACAUAGGGGGCAAGCGUUGUCCGGAUUUAUUGGGCGUAAAGAGCGUGUAGGCGGUCAGGUAGGUCCGUUGUGAAAACUCGAGGCUCAACCUCGAGACGCCGAUGGAAACCAUCUGACUAGAGUCCGGAAGAGGAGAGUGGAAUUCCUGGUGUAGCGGUGAAAUGCGUAGAUAUCUGCAGGAACACCCGUGGCGAAAGCGGCGCGCUGGACCACUACUGACGCUGAGGAACGAAAGCUAGGGGAGCAAACAGG